rnacentral:rRNA from 1 species
CGCUGGCGGCACGCCUACACAUGCAAGUCGAACGAAGUAGCAAUACUUAGUGGCAGACGGGUGAGUAACAUGUGGGUAUCUACCCUUUGGCCUGGAAUAACACGAGGAAACUUGUGCUAAUACCGGAUAAGUCUUUACGGAGAAAGCUUUAUGCACCAUUGGAUGAGCCCGCACUUGAUUAGUUUGUUGGUAGGGUAAUGGCCUACCAAGACUAUGAUCAAUAGCUGAUUUGAGAGGAUGAUCAGCCACAUUGGGACUGAGACACGGCCCAAACUCCUACGGGAGGCAGCAGUGGGGAAUCUUGCACAAUGGAGGAAACUCUGAUGCAGCGAUGCCGCGUGAGUGAAGAAGGCCUUUGGGUUGUAAAGCUCUUUCGUCGGGGAAGAAAAUGACUGUACCCGAAUAAGAAGGUCCGGCUAACUUCGUGCCAGCAGCCGCGGUAAUACGAAGGGACCUAGCGUAGUUCGGAAUUACUGGGCUUAAAGAGUUCGUAGGUGGUUGAAAAAGUUGGUGGUGAAAUCCCAGAGCUUAACUCUUGGAACUGCCAUCAAAACUUUUCAGCUAGAGUAUGAUAGAGGAAAGCAGAAUUUCUAGUGUAGAGGGUGAAA